GGGUGGGGGAGCCGUAGCGAAAGCGAGUUUUAAAAGGCGUUUUAGUCGCAUGUCCUGGACCCGAAGCGGGAUGAUCUAGCCCUGAGCAGGUUGAAGCGCGGGUAAGACCGUGUGGAGGACCGAACCCACCUAGGUUGAAAACUGGGGGGAUGACUUGGGGUUAGGGGUGAAAGGCCAAUCAAAUUCCGUGAUAGCUGGUUCUCUCCGAAAUGCAUUUAGGUGCAGCGUCAUGUUAUUGCUUACAGGGGGUAGAGCUACUGGAUGCUUGCGGGCCCAUACCGGGUACUAAUAGCAGCCAAACUCCGAAUACCUGUUAGGUUUAUCAUGGCAGUGAGUCGGCGGGGGAUAAGCUCCGUCGUCAAAAGGGAAACAGCCCUGAUCGUCGUCUAAGGUCCCGAAGCGCGUGCUAAGUGGGAAAGGAUGUGGAGUCGCAUAGACAGCCAGGAGGUUGGCUCAGAAGCAGCCAUCCUUGAAAGAGUGCGUAACAGCUCACUGGUCUAGUGGUUCCGCGCCGACAAUGUAGCGGGGCUUAAGCACGCCACCGAAGACGCGACUGCGUGAUUUAUUUCACGCGGGGUAGGAGAGCGUCCUGUAUGGGGUGAAGCGGCAGUGUGAACUUGUCGUGGACUAUACGGGAGUGAGAAUGCAGACAUGAGUAGCGAGAGACAGGUGUGAAUCCUGUCCGCUGAAUGACUAAGGGUUCCGGGGCCACGUUCGUCGUCCCCGGGUGAGUCGAGUCCUAAGGCGAGGCCGACAGGCGUAGUCGAAUGGAUGAACGGGUUGAUAUUCCCGUACCGGUGUUACACCGUUCGAACUGAAUCUGAGAGUACUAACCUUCGUUAUUCUGGUUGAUUGCCUUUCGGGGUUUUCUUCUGGUUUAGUGUUGGGAGCGUAUCGGUAGUAGGUUAGCGUGGGAGUGACGCGGGUAGGUAGCCGGCUGCGGAGGUGGUUUUCCGUGGCUAAGCGUGUGGGCUGUCUCCUAGGUAAAUCCGGGGGAUGUUUAAGCUGAGGCGUGAUGGGUAGGCCGUAUGGCUGAUUCCGGUGAUCCUGCUUGCCGAGAAAAGCUUCAACGUGAGGUGUGAUUCCGCUCGUACCCUAAACCGACACUGGUGGUCUGGUAGAGUAUACCGAAGCGAUCGGGCGAAUCCUGGCCAAGGAACUCGGCAAAUUACUCCCGUGCCUUCGGCAUAAGGGAGACCCUUGAUGGUGAUGUUUUUUACAUGCGGAGCUGUUGGGGGUGGCACAAGCUAGGGGGUAGCGACUGUUUACCAAAAACACAGGAGCGUGCGAAGGCGUAAGCCGCUGUAUACGCUCUGACGCCUGCCCGGUGCCGGAAGGUUAAGAGGAUCCGUUAGCUUUGGCGAAGCGGUGAAUUUAAGCCCCGGUAAACGGCGGUGGUAACUAUAACCAUCCUAAGGUAGCGAAAUUCCUUGUCGGGUAAGUUCCGACCUGCACGAAUG
rnacentral:rRNA from 1 species